rnacentral:rRNA from 1 species
AUUGAACGCUGGCGGCAGGCCUAACACAUGCAAGUCGAACGAGUGGCGGACGGGUGAGUAAUGUCUGGGAAACUGCCCGAUGGAGGGGGCUAACUACUGGAAACGGUCGCUAAUACCGCAUACCAUCGGAUGUGCCCAGAUUGGAUUAGGUAGUAGGUGGGGUAACGGCUCACCUAGGCGACGAUCCCUCGCUGGUAUGAGAGGAUGACCAGCCGAACUGGAAUGGAGACACGGUCCAGACGCCGACGGGAGGAAGCAGUGGGGAAUAUUGCACAAUGGGCGCAAUCCUGAUGCAUCCAUGCCGUGUGUAUGAAGAAGGCUUUAGGGUUGUAAAGUACUUUCAGCGAGGAGGCGUUACUCGCAGAAGAAGCACCGGCUAACUCCGUGCCAGCGGCCGCGGUAAUUC